rnacentral:rRNA from 1 species
AUACGUAGGGGGCGAGCGUUGUCCGGAAUGAUUGGGCGUAAAGGGCGCGUAGGCGGCCUGUUAAGUCUGGAGUGAAAGUCCUGUUUUCAAGAUGGGAAUUGCUUUGGAUACUGAUGGGCUUGAGUGCAGGAGAGGUUAUCGGAAUUCCCGGUGUAGCGGUGAAAUGCGUAGAGAUCGGGAGGAACACCAGUGGCGAAGGCGGGUAACUGGACUGCAACUGACGCUGAGGCGCGAAAGUGUGGGGAGCAAACAGGAUUAGAUACCCUGGUAGUCCACACUGUAAACGAUGAAUACUAGGUGUAGGGGGUAUCGACUCCCUCUGUGCCGCAGUUAACACAAUAAGUAUUCCGCCUGGGGAGUACGGCCGCAAGGUUGAAACUCAAAUGAAUUGGCGGGG